GAUGAAGAACGCAGCGAAAUGCGAUAAGUAAUGUGAAUUGCAGAAUUCAGUGAAUCAUCGAAUCUUUGAACGCACCUUGCACCCUUUGGCUAUUCCGAAGGGUAUGCCUGUUUGAGUAUCAUGAACACCUCAACUCUCAUGGUUUGCCAUGAUGAGCUUGGACUUUGGGGGUCUUGCUGGCCUGUGGUCAGCUCCUCUCAAAUGGAUUAGCUUGCCAGUGUUUGGUGGCAUCACAGGUGUGAUAACUAUCUACGCUUGUGGUUUUCCACCAGGUAACCUUCAGCAAUGGGGGUUCGCUGGGGCUCAUAUAUGUCUCUCCUCAGUGAGGACAGCUCUUUGAACGUUUGAUCUCAAAUCAGGUAGGACUACCCGCUGAACUUAAGCAUAUCAAUAAGCGGAGGA
rnacentral:misc_RNA from 1 species